UACGUAGGGUGCAAGCGUUGUCCGGAAUUAUUGGGCGUAAAGAGCUCGUAGGCGGUUUGUCGCGUCUGCUGUGAAAUCCGAGGCUCAACCUCGGGUCUGCAGUGGGUACGGGCAGACUAGAGUGUGGUAGGGGAGAUUGGAAUUCCUGGUGUAGCGGUGGAAUGCGCAGAUAUCAGGAGGAACACCGAUGGCGAAGGCAGAUCUCUGGGCCAUUACUGACGCUGAGACGCGAAAGCGUGGGGAGCGAACCGG
rnacentral:rRNA from 1 species